GGCCGAAGGGCCUGUUUCCAUGCUGUGAGUUAGAUCGCCAUCUAUUCCCUUCGCAACUGCAGUUCAUGGUGAUGAUGUACGUUUUCCACGACUGUUUGCAUGUUCCUGCAAGGCUUUUUUAUUGGAUUGGAAUCGCAAACGGCAUCAUUCUUCUCAUCAAUGCAAGGAACGGAAACGCAUAUCCUGUUCCUCCAGAGAUUCAAAUUGAAAAAUAAUUGUGUUAUAUGUAGCUCAGUAGCUCAUUAAUUUGUAAAACUCGUGUUAAUUAAGAAUAGUUAUGUAAAAUGUAUCCUCGAUUCCAAGAAAGAUAGUAGAAAUUGCUGUCCAAAACGGAAAGAACAGCUUGAUAUGAAAUACUUUAACAUCAGAGUAAGAAGAUGAUGGAUUGAAGCCCCUCUGAUGCAACAUGUAGCCCAGUCCAGCACCCAGGCCAGAACCAUCUACACUGCAC